UAGCUCUGGUUUUUCUUAAUUUAUGUGUAAAUAUUUCACCUUUUAUUAAAGAUUUCUGUGGAAAAGAACAGCAAUGAGUUUGAUGUAUUUUUGUGAGCUUUGCUCUGGCAAAGCU